rnacentral:lncRNA from 1 species
CUAAUGCACUUGAAGCCCUCCUCUUGCUGCCGCCACCCUCCCCUCUCCUCCCUUGGUUCAACCGCAAGCAAGGUGCAAGGGAAAAAGAGCUUGGCGACAUCCCUUCUUCCUCCUCUUGGCUUCAACGCAUGAGAAAAGAAGAAGGCUGCGAAGGGCUUUGAUCUUCUUCCUCUUCUUCAUCCUUCUUCUUCCUCCUCUCAAGUGCAAUCAAGAGUUGAUUGAAAGAGAGGAGACCAGCCAUCAAAAGAAGUCUUUGCAAGGGAGCUAGCACCCUGGGAAGACAAGAAAGAUUUGAUCGGUCCUCUACUUCGUGUGGAUACCCGUAGAGGCCGGACGUUUGAACGGCUUCAAGCGAACCCUCUUCC